rnacentral:rRNA from 1 species
CCCUUAGAUGUUCUGGGCCGCACGCGCGCUACACUGAUGCAUUCAACGAGUCUAAAACCUGCUCUGAUAGGGGUGGGUAAUCUUUUGAAUGUGCAUCGUGAUUGGGAUAGAUGAUUGCAAUUUUUCAUCUUCAACGAGGAAUGCCUAGUAAACGCAAGUCAUCAGCUUGCAUUGAUUACGUCCCUGCCCUUUGUGCACACCGCCCGUCGCUCCUACCGAUUGAAUGAUCCGAUGAAUAUCAUAGACUGAGAGUAUAAGCAGGUUCGCCUGUCUUUGCUUCUCGGGAAGUGAAGUAAAUCUUAUCAUUUAGAGGAAGGAGAAGUCGUAACA